CUUGCUGUGCCCUGGCCCCGGCACACACAGGAGGGGCAGGUGCAGACAUCUCCCCCGGGGCUCCCUGUGGUGGCUGGUCCCUCACGACCCCCCCCAUCACCCGUUACUGAGUGUGUCCUGACUCUGUGUGUCCCUCCCCCAGGUGCCGUCCUGGGUCUGUGUGUCCCUCCCCCCAGGUGCCGUCCUGGGUCUGUGUGUCCCUCCCCCAGGUGCCGUCCUGGGUCUGUGUGUCCCUCCCCCAGGUGCCGUCCUGGGUCUGUGUGUCCCUCCCCCCAGGUGCCGUCCUGGGUCUGUGUGUCCCUCCCCCAGGUGCCGUCCUGGGUCUGUGUGUCCCUCCCCCAGGUGCCGUCCUGGGUCUGUGUGUCCCUCCCCCAGGUGCCAUCCUGGUCUGUGUGUCCCUCCCCCAGCUGUGGCCCUUGGGUCUGUCUCCCUUCCUGCCAGGUGUCCUCCCAAGUCCAGGUGUCUGGUCUCCCCCAUUUCCCAUCCUUUGUUGCCAGGCAUGCUGGAUGCUCAGUAAACAUUGUUAGGCAAAUGUGGGGACAAUCAGCAAAGCGUCUGUGGGCUCCCUGCAGGGCCUCCUACCUGGAACACCUGUUGUCGGUUUACUGACAAACUCUAGGAAGCCUAUGUUGGAAUAUUCCAGAGGGAAGCUGAGAGCUAGUUGUACCCACUUUGCCUACAGAAGUUUGAGUUUAUUUUCUUUGGGCGAGCUUUGCUACCGCCCUGGAGCAGAGCCCUGGCUCCCGUGCGCUCUGUGCAGAGACUACACAGGGCGUGUGCAGGUGGAGCGUCUGUGCUGAGCGCUGCGGGCCUGCAUGGGGAAGGGGCGCUCCUGGGCCCAGGCCGUGGUCGCCAGACCCUUCUAGGGUGCAGCCAGGUGCGAGGGCCGUCAACGCUGCCCGCCUGGGUGGGGUCUUGGGGCUUCAGGAGGGCGGGCGGGGAGGAGCCGGCUUUGAA